rnacentral:rRNA from 1 species
CCUACGGGAGGCAGCAGUGAGGAAUAUUGGUCAAUGGACGAGAGUCUGAACCAGCCAAGUAGCGUGAAGGAUGACUGCCCUAUGGGUUGUAAACUUCUUUUAUAUGGGAAUAAAAUGUUCCACGUGUGGGAUUUUGUAUGUACCAUAUGAAUAAGGAUCGGCUAACUCCGUGCCAGCAGCCGCGGUAAUACGUAGGAUCCGAGCGUUAUCCGGAUUUAUUGGGUUUAAAGGGAACGUAGGUGGAUUGUUAAGUCAGAUGUGAAAGUUUGCGGCUCAACCGUAACAGUGCAGUUGAAACUGGCAGUCUUGAGUACAGUAGAGGUGGGCGGAAUUCGUGGUGUAGCGGUGAAAUGCUUAGAUAUCACGAAGAACUCCGAUUGCGAAGGCAGUUCACUGGACUGCAACUGACACUGAGGCUCGAAAGUGUGGGUAUCAAACAGGAUUAGAUACCCGUGUAGUC